rnacentral:rRNA from 1 species
AACGAACGCUGGCGGCAGGCUUAACACAUGCAAGUCGAGCGCCUCGCAAGAGGAUCGGCAGACGGGUGAGUAACGCGUGGGAACGUACCCUUAUCUUCGGAAUAGCUCUGGGAAACUGGAAGUAAUACCGAAUGUGCCCUUAGGGGGAAAGAUUUAUCGGAUAAGGAUCGGCCCGCGUUGGAUUAGCUAGUUGGUGGGGUAAAGGCCUACCAAGGCGACGAUCCAUAGCUGGUCUGAGAGGAUGAUCAGCCACAUUGGGACUGAGACACGGACCAAACUCCUACGGGAGGCAGCAGUGGGGAAUAUUGGACAAUGGGCGCAAGCCUGAUACAGCCAUGCCGCGUGAGUGAUGAAGGCCUUAGGGUUGUAAAGCUCUUUCACCGGAGAAGAUAAUGACGGUAUCCGGAGAAGAAGCCCCGGCUAACUUCGUG